CCUCGGCAGCCCGGGCCAAGUCCCCUCCCCAGCCCCGGCCCGCCGCGGGCGCCGCUCGGACUUCCCGUCCCCGCCCCCUUUCCCGGGCGACCUGGCGGGCUGUGUCACCUCCGGGGCUCUGGGUGCUGGGGACCGCGCGCCCCACGCCGGGCCGAGGGGGCUCUAGGACUCGCCCCUCGGUAGGAGCUGCCCUGAGGGGUGCAGGCCUCCUCCCGCACCCCGUGUGGCCCCCGGCGAGAGGCCUCGGGUCAACAGCCGCUGCAGAAACUGCUGCUCCGGGGGCCUGAGACGGGGGAGCCUGGGCGGCAGGGACAGCAGAGUCUGGGCGCGGGUUCGGGCAGGGCCCGGGUUCGGGCAGGGCCCGGGCGUGCGGUGACCACCCCUGCCAGCCUUUUCCACAGGGGGGCCUGCGCUGGGCCCUGGGACCACCGUGAGGUCCCCACCUGAGCCCGGCAGGGGACAGAGUGAGAGCGGUCCCUGGUAGGGCUGUGUCUGGAAUCCCCACUCCCCACCCUGGUCACAGCCCGGCAGCCAGGGCCAGGGCCCCUCCUGGAGGGGAGGUGCAGGCUGGGCUGGGGAGACCACCCUGGGCUCUGGGGCUGGGCCCCCUUCAGAGCUGUCCCGGAAGGGGGCGGAGCAGUUGCGGGUGAGGCCCCUCUUCAGCCCGUUUGCAAAGGCUUUAGCCCCUUCCCCGGAGCAGAGGGUCCCUGGGCUGCCCGGUGGCCCUCGGCCCUGCGUGGAUGCCCUCUGGUCUUCAGGGCCUUCUCUCUCUGCCCCUGAGGACAGGCCUUCUCUCAUCUGUCUCCUUUCCUGGUGGAUGGUAGGGUGGCUGGGGUGGGGGUCUGUGGUGGUGUCUUGUGCUCGAAGUGUGCCCAGGCAGUGGGGAACUUCCCAGUGUAAGGAGGAGAAAGCCACCGUCCACUGGAUGCCUGAGAGCUCGUCCCCAAAUCCCCCUGCCUGCCGUCCGCAGGGCCUGCAAGGUCCACCGCGGCCGCAGCCUCCAGUCUGUCCUGGUGUCUGGACUCGGGCUGGACCACCUUACAGCUCGUGCCAGCUGUGCCUGCACCACCUUUUAUGGCCCACACCUCCCACGGCAGCGUCAGAGUGUUUGGGUGCAGCAGGCCGCGGAGGGGCACUGAGGUAAUCCGGCCUCAACCAGCAUUCCCAGGACCCGAGGCCCCUCUGACCCUGAGCAGGCUGCAGGCUGCCCCACGGACAGCAUCCUUCAGCACCACAAAGCGCACGGCUGAGGUUGGUGGCCAGGGCUCAGGGCACCUCCAGGCAUGGUUCUUAACUAGCGAGCUGAUGCCAAGGUCACAUGACUGAGUUUUGGGCUGCGUUCCAUCCUGUCUGUGGGGAGAUAGAGGGAGAGGAGCAACAUGGGUGUGUGUUGACGCUUAGGGGGCGAACUGGGAGCUGCAGUAAGACACAUGCAUGCCUUUAGAGAAGGGACCUUCUCUAUCUGGGCUGUGGGUGCCCACGGGCCUGGCCCGGAGGAGAAGGAAGUCGUGCUGUUCCUUUUCUGCCCAUGUGUUCCCAGGCUGAGGCAGGCCUUAGGUGGCUCCGUGUGGAAAAGCUCUUCCUGGCUUUCGCACACUCUGGACACCACAUGGGCCACUCGGGGCGGGGCGCUGCUCUCGGGUUUGCAGCCUUUUACUUCACGGACAUUUGGGAAGACGCCUCUGCAGUCAGACUUUCCUCUGCUUACUCACGGAGCCGACAGACAGAACUAAAGUUCUCCCCAGUCACACUUGAUCACAACUUUCUCCAGGGACAACUCAGAAAAAAAUGAAAAAUGGCAAAACCUGCCGUUCAUGGGCAAUUGC
rnacentral:lncRNA from 1 species